AGCGAGGUUGCAAUCUAAAUAAAUGCAAUGAAUAAGAUACAUGUAUGCUAUGGUAUGUAAAUUUAAUAAUUAAAAUGCAAGGUGAAGUACUCAAGUUAGCAGGACAAGUUUUAGUUCCAUUAUUUAAGAUUUUAGGGGUAUACUUCGUAAUUAGAAGUAGGUGUGGCCAGUCUAGGAAGUUGGAUUAAGGUUGUACUUAACAAUCCUUCAAUGUCUUAGUGAAUACUUAAUAAGGUUCUUGGCUGAAGUUAUUUAUGGAUUAAUUUAGUACUUCAUUAAUCCUUUAUUUCCCUUUUCCUACUUGGGCUUUUAGAGUGGCUUUGAGCUACAACACUGAUUUAGAAAUUUACAAAAAUUCUGUAAAAAAUAUAGUGUCUUCUCACUGGUUUAUAUAAUUCAGUCUCAAAAAUUGAGGCUUAAAAUGAGAAUGGUUUUCUCUACACAAAAAUAUUAAAAUUUAGGGCAAAGGAGGUGCUUUGAACUACAACUCUCUUCUAGGAGUGAAUUUUACCCUAAGGUUUAUUUUUGCUGGUAUCUAGGUGUAAUAAUAUGACUUUAUGCCAAAUUUUAGCCAAGGAUACCUACUGGUUAAGUUAUGGUGAUUUUCUAAAGUUUGGGGGCUUAGUGGUGAUUUCCACUGCUACUAUAAUUGAAAAAUGUAAAACAAUAGAUUUCCUAAUUUUUCUAUCUUCUUCUUUGCGCAAGAGCAAUCAUUCUUCAAGUUGGUUAAUUUUGCUUAUAGGGAAGGGGUUGUAAAAUUUCUUGGAAUAUAUGGUCUUUUUCAUGGGGCACGGGUGAGGUGUAUUUCAUCACAUUUUUACCUUAGUCUUAUAUUUUUCUCUGGUAGUUUACAUCAUAAGUAUUUAGGUAAAAAUAGGGUUGCUCACUGUUUCCCAUUUUUAGGGUGGUUACCAUUUUUGUAGUAUUGGCCAAAUCCAAGUUCCAUUUUUGUACAUCAUACAAUUUCUUUUUAUUUAUUUGAAGUAUUGGCCAAAUUCAAGUUCUAUUUGUUUAACUCACUUACUGUGAUGGUUUAGGGUGGUUACCAUUUUUGUAGUGGUAUGUUAGUGGUCAGGGGUCUACUAAAUUUUUCUUGCCAUUAUUGCAUGUACCCUUAUAUUUUUAAUCAUGGCCUUUAUUAACUUCUUAAUACCUAAAUAAAAUUAUAACCUUACAUCAGUACUAGACCAGGGUUCCAUAUAUUUUUCAUAUGAUCUAUAUCACUUAGGCAUACUAGAAAAAAUAUGGUCAUCCUCUAGUUUCUACUUUCUAUCCCCUUUUUCAUUUUCCUAAAGUUUGGGUAGAAAUAGACUUUAAACAGUGUAUCUACUAGGUGAGUGUCUCCAUAAUUUUUCUCAAGCCCAGUCUAGAAGUAUUUUUUUUCUCUGUAUUAUUAAAGUUUGGGCAGUUUUCUAAUUUAAUUCAAAACUCUAAAAAAUGGUACAGAAAACAUGGGGUUUACUAUUUUUGUUUGACAAUUCAUAUUUUACAGAGUCCAGCAGAAUUAAUUUGACCAGAUUUGGAUGAAUACUCAAGUUAUGCAUUUAUCAAGUUUGCUACAGAUUUAAUAACUGAGAAAUUCGAAAAGGAAAAGAAAUUCACAUUUGCGCUGAAGUCCCUGGUUCUAUUCUCCACUUUCUCUCAUAGAUAAGCCCUCGGUAUACUAUUCAUGUGGGUCACUGACAUCGCAGAAAACCCACUAGGAUUAACCUAAAUCUAACCCGCGCUCCUAUCCUCACUGGAACAGUAACCGCGACGGAGAAAAGGGCGGCGAGGCUUACCGACGGCGAUCUAGCUCCGGUGAAGUGUCCGAGGAGGUCGGGGAGGUCACGGCGGUCACGUCGAUGGUCGAUUCGUCGCUGGCGGUGGUCAGAGUCGGUCGGACCUCGUGCGCAAGCGGGGGAGCUCGUCGGUGGUGAGUGUUCCGGCCUAACCACGACAGUAUAGUUCGAUUAAAUCGUGCAGCGAGCUUCACUGAGUGUCAGGGAAGACAUGGGCGCGAGUAAUCGAACUAUGGCUUACCGGUUAGUCGUGGCCACGCGCGCUGGCGAAAGAAACAACUCCGGCGAGGGUGGAACGGUGUCUCCGGUGAGGUUGCGUUUGGUUUCUUGCUUCGGAGAGCUCUACAGGGCUCUAGGGAAGCUAGCCGAGGCACUCGAUCGGUUGGAGGUGACCGGAAAAAGGUAUGGCCACGGCGGCCGAGCUCUGGCGGUGGUGGUGGGUCACGGGGAGGUCGCCAGAGCCGCGGGCUGGCUCUGGGGAGUUGGGCGCGGUGCGAAGGGAGUACGGUCGAGGCCGUGCUGCUCUUAUAGGCGCGGGCGUGGUGCACGGUCGGGCGUGGAUGGGUGCGGGCGCACGGGCGCGCACGGCUCGGCGCGGGCACGCGGGCAGGCGUGCACCGGCGCAUCAGCCGUGGUCGAGCACGUGGCACAUUGCUUCUGCUCUUGUUCUAACACCGAUAGGCUUCAAAUCUUCACGAAUUUGGGCAAGAUCGUAUUGUUAGAUAUGUUCCUCGGGGUAUGCUUUGUCGUUUUUGUGUGGGCGCCGAGGGGUUUUCGUCCGUGUACAGUGAGUUGUCGCGUCGCCAAGUUGUUAGUGUCUAGCUGCGUCUCGAGGUAAAUCAGUGCCAGGAUCAUGUCAAACGGCUGAUACUUGUCUCCAAAUUUUUCUAGGGCGUGCCUAAGGUAAUUUGGAGCCAAUUUGUUAUUUGGACCUAGCAGAUUUGAGCCUUGGAACUAGGUGACCACGGUUGAUUUUGAUGAGAAGGUCAGAUUUCAGAAUUCCUGAAUUUCCAUUUGAGUCUUCAUUUAAGUGGCUAUUUUGAGAAUUUUGCAAAAUCCUUUUGAUUAAACUUCCUUACUAUAUUUUGUAUCUUAUUCAGUGUACUACAACUUUGUUAAUUGGUCCAAAUUAUGAUUUUAUGUUUUUCAUAGUCUUUUCACUAAAUUCCCUUUUUCUGCUCAAAUGGCUUACUUAGGGUAGUUCUAGGGUUUUGAAUAUUUUUCUCACUUGAGGUGCAUGAUGUGGUUAUGAUAUGGUUCUUGAGAUGAAAAAGACAUGUUUAAGUUUUUUCUUUUCAAUUUGGUGCCUUUUGCUCAAUUAAAUUCACAUGUGAUAAUGUUCACAAAUGUGGGUGUGGAGGAAAAAUCCUGAGUAACACUGUGUCACACCCAGGUUUCAGGGCACCAAGACCCGGGCGCGAACAUAAUCACCAGGUAUGCUGGGACCAAGUCUCACACAUAUGAUGAAUCAUGGCAAAAGAUCGAAUGUCACAUAUUUAAUAUAUAAUAAGAGUUCUGGACAAAAUAAAUAAAUAAUUACAUUAUAAGGUGACAACGGUCUAGCAACCCAAAGUUGUUUGGGAGACGACGGCCUAGACCUCUCACGAACUCGUCACGGCAUCCUCCAUGCGCCUCAUCCUGUGGUACCUGUUCUUGACCUGUAGGGGGUGUGAGACAGCAAGAGUGAGCUCACAUACGUUCAUAGCUCAACAAGUUGUGGGGAAUAAUGUGCAUGAACUCGCCAAAGGUGGGAGCUCAUGAAGUGUAAGGCUUACCAAAGAGGAUGGUUGAAGUUGGGCAUUGAUUUUAAAGUUGGUCAAAAUUUUAUUAGCAAUUACUAAGUAUAAGUAAAUACCAACCCAAUUAAGUAGUAGAACAAAAGUAACAACAACACCUGCGAUGCAAUGCAUAUGACAAAUUAAAUUUAAGUUCCAUAAAUUAAUCAUGUGAGGGUACGAGCUGCUCAUGACCGUGAGCACGGCUAGUAUACCAGUUUUACACUCUGCAGAGGUUGCACAUCUUUACCCACAAGUCAUGUUACCCAUCUACGAUGGGGUUGUACGGGCCCCAUACACCUCUACCAAGGAAGCGAGGCAGGGUAACACUAUGAGGCCUUUACAAAGUUCCACUAGUUUCAGAAAACCCGCUACAGUUUAUAGGAAGCUCCAAUGCAGGGAUCCCUCGCCUGACCGCCAUCGCAGCAAAAUCAACCCAAGGACCUCCCUACACUGACCACUUCCCUACUGCCCUUGCCCCUUUCGGGUAAGGUAGUCAUCCACUAGUUUUCCUAGUUAAUCAGCCAAGGGCAUCCCAUACUACCCUUGUGGUAGCACUGUUUUCCCGGGUGGUCGCUCCAUGUUCCCAUUAACAUAAUGAUCUUAUCAUGAAGAGUAAAUAAAAACUGAUAACAAAAGUAUGAAUAAUGUGUAUCUCAAUGCCCAAAUCCACAUAUAGCACUAGCAAGUACUACCCAAAAAGUUUAGUGGUAAACAAGGCAUAAAGAUAGUCAAACUAGGGUAACCUAUUGGGUCCCAUCAAAAUUAACCUAAGCAGAUCAUUAUGAUUAAUAAGAACAUGACUGGAUAAAAAGAAGUGAUCAAGGGCACAACUUGCCUGGGACUUGAGAUUCUAGGUACCAGGAUGAUCUUCAGCUGACUCCUAACCUCUCGCUAGUCGUAGCAAUACAAACAAACAUGGUAUAGGCAAAAUUAACAUCACACCAAACAUAAGAACAAAUUAUAUAAUAAUAAUCUACGCGUCAUUAUGUAAUCUUGGGAUCGAGAAUCACUAAAUUCGGAACUACGGUUUAAAAGAUAUGAUUUUCCAAAGAAUUAGGAGUUGGGUAGAGAAGAAAUUAAGUACAUGAUUUUAAUUUUGUUUCAUUACAACAUAAAGUUACAAGGGGAUAAACAAUAUUAUUAUGGAACUAAUGCGACUGGAAUGGGUAAAUUUGGAGUUAAGAUGGAUUUAAUAUGAAUUAAGCAAGUUUCUAUAUUUAUUGUUGUACUAAAAUCCAUUUUCUUUAUUAAUUCUACCCAUUUUAUUAUUCUUUGGGCUGCGGCCACAAUUUUCCAGAAGGCUAGGGGGUCACAUGUCAAUUUCAGGACCUAACUGUGCUAAUCUUUCUAUACCCGGGGAUGGCGGGUCAAUUACCAGAUACCCCAGGGUCUCAUUAAUAAAAGUGGUCGGCUGAAGAGGUAUUUUGAAGUCUCGGCCGCACGAUUAGAUCAGAGUGGCCCAGAUUAGCUCGAGUCUUGAGUGAACCGUUACGCACAUCAGCUAUUGAUCCAGAGAUCUGCGUCACAGAUUUGAUGAAGUUUUGUUUUCCUAUGGAUCGUCCGAUCACCACCCCACGGCCCUGAUUUAUCCUCCGAGGAGGUAUCUCUACUUCUUAUCAUAACCGCCAGCCCUGAGAUGGACGGUGCAGAGGGCAUCUUCUACAACCGUGCCAGGACGCACAACCGAGCACAAUGGUGCCACAGCUAGCGCGGCGGCGCACAGCUCCCGCGACGGCGACCAUGGUCAGAAUCCCGCCAUCCGGCGAACUAGUCCACAAAUUCAUCGUAAACGCGCUAUAGGGAGGGUUCCGAUGGUGAACAUGACAGAGAAACGACACAUAGGCGGAGGGCAUAGAGAGGGGGGGGUGUCCUUGCUGCAAGGCGGGACCGAGGCGGGGCUAUUCUCCGGCGAGGGAUCUAUGGCUAACGAGGGCUCUAUUCCAUCCGAAGCACGAUACUAGCCGUCGAGAGGAACAUGGCGAAGCUAGGGGAGAAGGUCUCACCGGGAGCGAAGGUGGGGACGAGGUCGGACACGGUGUUGGGCGAAUCGCUGGCGUUGAAGUCCCUCCGGUGAGAAACUGUGUAGCCUCCGGUCCACAAUCCCACCAGGCAAGGCCAUGACAGACAUCCUGGUGGCCUUAUUUAUCCGCACGGCCCAUCCCCGAGGGAUCUACAUCGACGAGCCAGAGUCUUCCCCAUGGCGAACAUCAUUCUCACACUUCCACCCAUGGCGGUCGGGUAUGGGAUGACUCGAAUUCGGGUGCCAGCUCGAUGGAAGGAGGGGAGGGGGUACAGAGACGGCUUUUAAUAGGGCAGAGGAGCGCCCAGGUUGUUGCGAGGCGUGCACCACCCGCGGAAUCCGCGCG
rnacentral:lncRNA from 1 species